rnacentral:ncRNA from 1 species
AGUAGAAUUAAUAAUAAAUUUUAAAUAGAUUUAUAAAUUUAAAAAUUUCAAUAAAAAAUAUUAAUUAUCAAAGGUAUUUGGAAUUAGUUAUAAUAUUAAAUAUUGACUAAAUUUGUGCCAGCAGUUGCGGUUAUACAGAUAAUGUAAUUUAAUUUUAUUAGUUUAGAUAUAUUUUUAAUUUUAAAUUUUUUAUUAAAAUUUAUUAAGUGAAAUUUUAAAUUUUAAAAAAAUUUAUUUUUGUUAAUUAUUUGUUAAAUUUUGAAGUUAAACUAGGAUUAGAUACCCUAUUAUUCAAAAUAUAAUUUUGAAGCUAAAUUAGUAUUAGGUAAGUUCUUGAAAAUUAAAAGAUUUGGCGGUAUUUUAGUCUAUUCAGAGGAACUUGCCCUGUAAUUGAUAAUCCACGAUUUACUGUACUUUUUUUAAAAAUUUAUAUAUCGUUGUGUUUGAGAAUUUUUUAAAAAUUAAGAAUUUUCAAGAUUUAUUAUUUUAAAAUAUAUCAGAUCAAGAUGUAGUUUAUAAAAGAGUAGAGGUGAGUUACAUUAAAUUUAUUUAUGAAAGGAUUAAUAUUAGAAUAAUAUUGUAAAUAUGGAUUUGAUAGUAAUUUUAAUAAAUUAAUUAUUAUGAUUUUAGCUCUAAAAUAUGCACAUAUCGCCCGUCGCUUUCAUUUUAAGGUGAAAUAAGUCGUAACAAAGUAGAUUUAUUGGAAAAUGAAUCUGGAAAUC